AGCUUGAGUAGUAUUAGUUAUGUUCUUGAAACUCAAAGAAUUUGGCGGUGUUUUAGUCUUUUCAGAGGAACCUGUCCCGUAAUCGAUAAUCCACGUUAAACCUUACUUAUUUUUGUUAUCAGCUUGUAUACCGCCGUCGUCAGAAUGUCCUAAGAAGGGUUUAAUUUUCUUAAAUUUUUAUUAUAAAUGAUGUCAGGUCAAGGUGUAGCUUACGGAUAAGUGGAGAUGGGUUACAAUAAAUAUAUUUAUAACGGAUAAGACUUUGAAAUAAGUUUUUGAAGGUGGAUUUGAUGGUAAUUGACUUAAUUAAAUUAAUUUGAUUUUAGCUCUAAAACAUGCACACAUCGCCCGUCGCUCUUA
rnacentral:rRNA from 1 species